AUCAAAAUGCCGGUAGCCCUCAAAGAAAGUGGUAGAGAAGAGAGGGACAAGGACUAAAUCAAUAAAUAAAAUCUGGCAGCCCAGCUGUGAAGCCUACAUCCUUCCUGGAGGGCCAGCCCCCAGCAAAUGGUAACAAAAAAUGAAUUAAACUGAAGCACUGAAGGACCAAGGACAAAGGUCUUAACCAUUUACAAGAGACAGAAGAGCAUUUCGUUCCAGCAAUGAUUAGCAAAGCAGAUACCCUUUCAGUAAGAUCAUUUGAAAGCAGGAUAUGCACCUAAACCCCUUGCUACUGAA